UUUGUACUCCCUCCGUCCCAAAAUUCUUGUCUUAAAUUUGUCUAAAUAUGGAUGUAUCUAGUUACAUUUUAGUGUUAGAUACAUAUGUAUCUAAAAAAAUGUAGGACAAGAAUUUUGGGGCGGAGGGAAUACUAC
rnacentral:pre_miRNA from 1 species